rnacentral:rRNA from 1 species
UACGGGGGGGACAAGCGUUGUUCGGAUUUACUGGGCGUAAAGGGCGCGUAGGCGGGCCUUCAAGUCGGUUGUGAAAACUAGUGGCUUAACCACUAGCCUGCAUUCGAUACUGUUGGUCUUGAGUACAGGAGAGGAAAGCGGAAUUCCAGGUGUAGCGGUGAAAUGCGUAGAUAUCUGGAAGAACACCAGUAGCGAAGGCGGCUUUCUGGACUGAUACUGACGCUAAAGCGCGAAGGCCAGGGGAGCAAACAGG